UCAUUUUAGCUAUGUUCAGUUGAGGAACGCAGCAGAUCUGGAUGACAGAAGAAACCGAAUAUUAACCAGGUACAGUACUCAGAAGCUUACUGAGCUGAUUUUACAGUUUUAUGGCAUCAGAGCAGACAUGAAGAGGGAAAGCAAACAUGCCAGGAUGUCUAUGAAAGUAUUUCUUGCUGUCGGAGAACUGUUGGCCUGGCCUAAUGUUGCUGAAUUGCUGGAAACCUGCCCAUUUAAAACAUAGGAAACCAGAAAAACGUCUCAAAUUCUUACAAUUCUGAGACGUCCCCAUUCCUGUUGAAGUCAUAGAGUUGCUUUAUUAUGUUUUUAUUUUUAAAAAAUUUUAUUUACUCGCCACAGAUUUGAAUUGGCUUGGAAGGAUUUAGAUUACUGGAAUCGGAAGCCUCUGUCUGAAUAUUACCCAACACCCAAGAGUGUGGUCAUUAGAACCCCAUCCCUCUGGCUGCUAAAAAAGAAGCAAGACAGCUCCUUUCCCCUGCCAUGAAAUGGAAAUACUAAUUCAAGUUUUCCACCAGGCUGGAUAUGCUCAUAGGAAAAUAAUCCUUUUUGCUCUUAUGAGAUAGAGGCGUUGAAAAUAGAACCUGUAAAGUUGAGAAAUGCAGUCGUGUUUUCAGUUGUCUACAUUGAGCAUUUAUUACCUUUAUAAUAAAAAAUAUGGUUUAGGCUGCGCAUGGUGGCUCACGCCUGUAAUCCCAGCACUUUGGGAGGCCAAGGAGGGAGGACUGCUUGAGGCCAGGAGUUUGAGACUAGCCUGGGCAACACAGAGAGACCGUGUCUCUAUAAAAAGUAUAUAGUUUAACUUGUUUCUGUGGACAGCUUUUUAAAGAAGACCAUCAUGUGGGUAUUUAUCAUUCAGUAUGUAGACUGUGGCAGAUGUUUAAUCCCACCCUGCCCCUCGCUCCUGCUAUCAGGAGAUAGUUCUGGGACAAGUGGUUUUAGCCUCUCGUAAUCUCCAUUACACCGCACGAAACCACCCUAAGAGGCUUACACUGCAGGCUUCUCUACAUGCAGCUCCAAGCAGAGGCCCCAGCCCCAGGCAAAACCUUCUGGGCUUCCCUAUGAUCCGCCAGGCAAAACUGAAAUGACAUUUUAACACUACCACCUAUAAAAUAAAAGCAGGAAGGUAAAUCUGACUGAAAUCAAAUCUAGUAAUUAUUUUAAAGGUAAUAUUCCAAAGCCAAAACAAAACUGUGGGGAAUGGGAGAGGUCUUUGUUUCUUUCUGAUAGAUGAUUUAAAAUGAUCUGCUAUUAGGGACACUUCAUCCCUUAGAUGACCUAUGGGGUCCCCUGCGUUACUAACAAACAGCAGCAAGCGAUCAGUAUCUAACUCCGUGUCACUCUCUGAGAGCACUGUGGCAUCAAGAAAGGUGUCCCAGGAGACCUGGCCUAGGCGCCCUCUCUGUCGCCAAGUUAAUUGCAUGGCCUUGGGCAAGUCACUCCACCCCGAAAGCCUCAGUGUGUCCAUCUGCAGAAUGGGGCUGCCACCUCCUCUCACCUGAUGUUAUGGAGAUGAACGGAGUACGUGCAAAAGCUCGAGGGGCUGCCUGGAUGGCCCGACGCACUGCCUUGGGCCAGUACACACAGUGUGGGGCCUACCUGGACAUGGUGCUGGGGAGCCUUCGGGUCUUCAGGCGGGGAGUGGGGGCCGGGGAGAGACGGGUAGCACUGGGUGGGGUCCACUUUCCUGGGAACCUGCUUGGUAACUGCGUUUCCUCUGUGUUUCUUCUGUAGGAAGGCCAACAGCUCAGGAG
rnacentral:lncRNA from 1 species